GCUUUUUAUUGAGAAUAUGUAUUACUAUAAACCUUAUUAUAAUAAAGAAUGUUUUGGCUGACACUAAUGUGGUAAAAGAAAGCAAAGGGUUUGGACAUUUCCCCUUCUUCUUCUUCUUGUUUAUGUUGUUCUUCUCCCACUAUCUGUUUCUCCUGUGUAAAAUGACCACCAGACCCAUUUGACUGGGGACCCAAGGGGGAGACAGGUGUAGAUGCUGGCCCAGCUUUGCUCUCUUUGGUCGGGGUAAGUGCGGGUUGGUGCUCCUUUCCUCUCUCCAGCCUCUCAAACUCAGUGCAAACCAACUCAACCGUCUCAAAGGGUUUUGGGGUUAAUUUGCAUUUGAGAAGCAUUUCAGUGAUUCAUUCUGACUCUGUAAAAUUAAAAGUUAAAACAAAAGGAUUUUUCUUGUAGAAAUGAUGUUUUGGCACAGUGAGAGCUGGGGAGAGGCACACAGAUAGAAUGGCCUGGGUGCAUUUUGAUCUGUGGAGCAGUCCUGUUUCCUUGGGCGAGGGGGGUUUGAUGGGUGUGUGUCUGGUCUGGUCUGGUCUGGUAUCUCUCCCCUGCUGUACCAAAUUCUCCCUCUCCGUGUGUCUCUGUGUCCUCUCUGCUCUCAGACCUGCAUGUGUGAUAAUCUGUAACUCUGCCGCACAAACAAACAAACAAGCCCCACGUCAGUCCAGCUCUUGACUAACUAUCUCAACUGAAAUAGGUCACUGUGCCGCCUGGAACGGCCGGGGUGCAGCCGUGCGUGAGCGUGGCGGCGUGAGCCAUGGGGACGACUUUUAGCGCGACGCCAACGCAGCGGGAACUCGUUCUCUCUCUCUCUUCACCACCAAGACUUCCCAGAACCACCCACCUAAACCCAAACUACCCACCCACCCUCCUUUUGUUACCGUAGUGGCCUGGGCGUGCCAACGGACAGUGUAUGUGUGGUGGCUCGCCGCUGGACUCAGUAACACGACACAGAGAGACUUCAGUGUUGGACGAGCCGCUUUGCUGAAACUGUUGAAUGAUGGGUUUGCGCCACACAGCUGUGGAAGGGAUCGUAACUCCCAUAAGACCUUAGCGCCAUCACAAAACGAGAUAAACCAACAGGGGGUUUGUCUUGGGUCCCUCACAGCCUGUGUGCCAAUCAGAAACGUCCUAUAAGAUCGGCCGAGCUAAUGAGGCCAGUCUGACCUGUAGAUUCUCACCAAUCUCAGGACUCCUGUAGGACUUUUCUGGUACGGCAGCUCUGUUUCUCUAAUCCUGGUGUCAGCUGGACCGGCUGGAUAUGUGCUAUGAGUGACUUGUAUGAGGUGUGGCUAUUAAAUAAUGAGACGUCACGCCGGUUUGACUCACAGAGGCUCUGUUUUGUUGUUUAACAGCCACGCCUCGUCUGCAUUCUUACCUGUUAAGACUAUUGAUGCACACACACAGUCCCGCACACACUCGCUGUAUGUCAGAUGAGUUUGUCUCGCAUUUGCUCUGACCGCUGCGAGACGGAGUCGAGACAAGCGUGGCGCUGCCUUUCUGUCCGCCUAACAAACUAAAAGGAGGUGGGGAGGAUUGAGUAACUUGUAAGGUGAGUUGGUAGUGGAAGGAUCCUUUGGCCCAAAGCUGCUCUCUAACCUCACCUUUCUGAUCUUGGAGCAUCCCAUAAUAGAGUCACUGGCCAGAACCUUACCCCAAGAAAACAUUGUCGCGCUCAGUGUCUGUGCUAAUAAUAACGAGCCCUUGAAUCUGUCUCUGUUGCUUGGAUACAAAGUGCAAAAAUCCAGUUAAACUGAUUUUUUGCAUUCACAGACUCAUUAAGUUUUUUAAUCAUCUGAGAGCACCCGUGUGGAUGCACAUAGAGGCACACAGAGGCCAGUAUUAUUUCUCUCCAAAGGACCGCUGUGUAGGAUUUAGUGUUUGAGGACUGGACGUGUAGUGCAGGAUCCAUAGUCCUACAUUAGUGCACAUUUGCCUAGAGAGAAGGAUUGUGGGUAUUCGAUCGAUGCAGAGACCAUGUGUAGAUGUGGUGAAAGACCGAAAAGCACAUAUCCUGAUAUCCUUAAUGCUGAUUGGCUGAAAAACUGUCUCGAACAGGAAAGGGGGUAAUAGUACAGCUCACCACAAAGAGGAACAAGUGUGUCCGUUUUCAUUGCUUUCAAUCACUCGGUUUCACUUUACUACAAAGGACCAACUAAAGCACAAAAACAAGGGUAGCCUGUGUCACUAAAUGCUGCACACAUUUACAACCAGGCUGCCAUGGCAACAGCACACGACUGCGGCGUGAAGUUGUGAGUCUGCAGACCUCAGCGUAGCACAGACUAGAGAAAAUAUGAAGGGCUCUUUACACUAAUGAAAACAAACACAACUAUGAAUAUAGUCACAGGAGAUGCCCCCCCUCCCUGAGCAUGGUCCUGCUGGAGGUUUCUUCCUGUUAAAAGGGAGUUUUUCCUUCCCACUGUCGCCAAGUGCUUGCUCAAAGAGGGUCGUCUGAUCAUCUGUUAAUGUAGGGUCUUUGCCUUCCAAUAUAAAGCACCUAGAGGUGACUGCUGUUGUGAUUUGGCGCUAUAUCAAUAAAAUUGAACUGAGUACUGUAUUCUGUUUCCACGAGUAAAUCCUACACACUGGUCCUUUAAGCAGUGCAGCUGAUGAAACCCCUCCUCAGCCUCCAUGAUCAGGGCACACGGUGCUCCAGUUUUUUUCCCCCUCCAGCCACCUCACCCCUCCCCUCCAACUCUGCCGGCUCCUCACUAAAAAGGCUUCUUCUGGUGCUUGUGAGUCUAGGCUUCCCGUGCUUGGGUGAAUGCAGCCACACAUCUCUUAAACACCCCCGACCCCCCCCCGCGCACCCUCUCUUGCUCUGAAUUCACCGACAGACAGAGCUGCAGCCUCCUCUCUACUUCCACUUCCUCACCCAAACUCCCCCUGCCUUCUGUGGUUUGGACAGCUGAAGAACUGAGAUACCCUGCACACACACAGACACACACUUAUAUAUAUAUAUAUUUGUGUAUUGUGUUGUUUUUUUCAUGGGAUCCCACAGGGUACAGCAGACACCGGCAGAGAUGUACAUCGGGAACAGAACCCACUCCGGCUUAGGUUUGAGCCCAGCCCUCACACUGUAGACCGUAUUGCCUUUUUCAGUUGAAGCAGGUUUCAUUAACGUGAUUUUUCUAGGUCAUCUAGCACAGAUGUGAAUUACAGAAUCACACUUCUAAUGAUGCUUAUCCUCUCUUCAGAUAAAGGCAUCAGGAGUGUCUUAUCUCACACGUUACCUCGUAUAGAGGGGGGCAGACAGCAUGUGAACGCCAGCAGGAUGCAGUGCAGCUCAAUACAAAAAUCACUGCAGUUAUGAGGUUUUUUCCCAUCAUAACUGCAGUAAUAGUGUGUUGGCUGGCAUUAGAGUGAAAGGCAUUUAUGUUAUUUUGUCCACCCUUCUGCCCUUAUAUGAUUACAGGCCACCUGAGGCCAAGCCCGUCUUUUUUUCCUCCCUCUCCACAGACCAUUUCAUUGUCAGCAGUCCCGCGGUGGCAUUAUGUUUAGCCAUUUCAGUUCCCUCGGCUCAGCGGCUGCUCAGUCACAAACCUAAUUGUAACCACAAAUAGUCGCGCAGUAGCUAAGCUUCUUCAAGUAGGUUAAUGGACCAAGCUUAGUGUAGUUAAACGAAACGCCUCAAUUAAUUACAAUAUUAAUCGUUCUAGUUUCCAAAGACGUCAGGGGUGACAGAACAAUGUGUCAUCUCAAGAGGAGAGCAAUCGGGAUCUGCUCCUUUUUCAAAGAAAUCGAAUCCAGCACAACGCUGAACGAUGAGGGGAUUUUUACACCGUGAAUGUCGGAUCAAACGUUUGCGUCAACAUGUUUACUGUGAAUGACAAAUCCUGAUAUGAAGACAAUUAUACUGUAUGGUUGUGUGUGCAUAUAUUUAUGCCUUUUAGUCUGUAUUUCUUAAGAUGUUGAGGUAUUUUUUUCAG
ensembl:lncRNA